UACGUAGGGUGCAAGCGUUGUCCGGAAUUAUUGGGCGUAAAGAGCUCGUAGGCGGUUUGUCGAGUCGGAUGUGAAAACUCGGGGCUCAACCCCGAGCCUGCAGUCGAUACGGGCAGACUAGAGUGCUGUAGGGGAGACUGGAAUUCCUGGUGUAGCGGUGAAAUGCGCAGAUAUCAGGAGGAACACCGGUGGCGAAGGCGGGUCUCUGGGCAGUAACUGACGCUGAGGAGCGAAAGCGUGGGGAGCGAACAGG
rnacentral:rRNA from 1 species